rnacentral:rRNA from 1 species
GACGAACGCUGGCGGCGUGCUUAACACAUGCAAGUCGAACGGAAAGGCCCUGCUUUUGUGGGGUGCUCGAGUGGCGAACGGGUGAGUAACACGUGAGUAACCUGCCCUUGACUUUGGGAUAACUUCAGGAAACUGGGGCUAAUACCGGAUAGGAGCUCCUGCUGCAUGGUGGGGGUUGGAAAGUUUCGGCGGUUGGGGAUGGACUCGCGGCUUAUCAGCUUGUUGGUGGGGUAGUUGCUUACCAAGGCUUUGACGGGUAGCCUGCAUGGGAGGGUGACCGGCCACAUUAGGACUGAGAUACGGACCAGACUCCUACGGGAGGCAGCAGUGGGGAAUAUUGCACAGUGGGCGGAAGCCUGAUGCAGCAACGCCGCGUGCGGGAUGACGGCCUUCGGGUUGUAAACCGCUUUCGCCUGUGACGAAGCGUGAGUGACGGUAAUGGGUAAAGAAGCACCGGCUAACUACGUG